AUCUGCUUUUGCAGUUGUUGGGAGAUACAGAAACAGGAAGCCAAAUAGUCUAAGGGAGUUUUGUUUCGUUUCCUGGGAGAAGAACUACCUAGAAACUGGUCCUUUUUACCACCCAGUUUACAGAGUUUCCUGAGAUUAGUAAUAUCUUGCGUUUGAAUGAUGCUUCAAAAUUUUUUCUUAAAGGUCUGUGUUAUAUUUUGGCUCAUUUUAACACCUAUUUUAUAAUAAAACUAAAGCUCAGAGAGGCAAAAACUUGCCCAAUUGUUACAUUCAGUAAAUGUGACCUCAUAUUUGGGUAUCUAGGCUUUCCAAUUCCACAAGCUGUCUUCACAGACAGAAGACAAAGGACUACCCCACCGAGAGGAGGAAAGACAAGCAACUGGGAUAAUUGAGUUAUGACAAGGAAACAAUUACUAGAUCAACAGCCUUUGUCUGAUCAAGAAGCUACUACAGAAUUGGACUAGGAUUUGAGGUGGUCUUAAAAACAUCUUGGAUUGCUCAGGUUCUGCUCAUUUCAGGACUACAGAAUCAAAGGGUGCCUGGGUGGCUCAGUCAGGUGAGUGACGGACUCUUGAUUUCAGCUCAGGUCAUGAUCGCAAGGUUGUGAGAUAGAGCCCUGCCACAGGCUCUGUGCUCAAUGUGGAGUCUGCUUGGGAUUCUCUCUCCCUCUUCCUAUGCCCCUCCCCUCUACUGGUGCACAGGUGUUCUCUCUCUCAAACCAAUAAAUAAAAUUUUGAAAAAAAAAGGCUAAAGGAU
rnacentral:lncRNA from 12 species